rnacentral:rRNA from 1 species
GAUGAACGCUGGCGGCGUGCCUAAUACAUGCAAGUCGAGCGAACAGACGAGGAGCUUGCUCCUCUGACGUUAGCGGCGGACGGGUGAGUAACACGUGGAUAACCUACCUAUAAGACUGGGAUAACUUCGGGAAACCGGAGCUAAGACCGGAUAAUAUAUUGAACCGCAUGGUUCAAUAGUGAAAGACGGUUUUGCUGUCACUUAUAGAUGGAUCCGCGCCGCAUUAGCUAGUUGGUAAGGUAACGGCUUACCAAGGCAACGAUGCGUAGCCGACCUGAGAGGGUGAUCGGCCACCCUGGAACUGAGACCCGGUCCAGACUCCUAGAGGAGGCCGCAGCAGGGACUCCUCCGCAAGGCGCCAAAGCCUGACGGAGCAACGCCGCGUGAGUGAUGAAGGUCUUCGGAUCGUAAAACUCUGUUAUUAGGGAAGAACAAAUGUGUAAGUAACUAUGCACGUCUUGACGGUACCUAAUCAGAAAGCCACGGCUAACUACGUG